ensembl:lncRNA
GUAAAAGGCUGUAGUUUCAGUAUGUAGACCUUUUUCCCCAUGCCAGUGUUGAAGUCUCGAGCCGUCAGAGAGUCUGCUGCAAAUCAUUCAAUUUCACCAUUUACCAGCUCACAAAAAUCUGAAUUUAGCCGAUGGUGUGUUCUAAUGGGUGGAUUGUGUGCAAUCGCUGUAAUAUUUUAUUUUUAAAAGGUCUUAAACAGGAAUGAACUCGUUUGUUGUGAGGUCGUUGUGAAGCCCCGCGGUCUCGCGUUGUCAAAAUAGAUGACGCAAAUCCUUCAUUUUUCACACUUCAACAGCUGAAAAACACCAACUUUUAGCUCUUGGUUUCUUCUAAUGGGUGGAUUGUGUGCA